GAUUGCAAUUUGCAUUUGAGCUCAGCAGUCGAGUAAGUUGUGCCAAAAAUACCAGAAGUGUUGCAUGCCCUGGAUGCAGAAAAACAAGAUUGAGAUGAGUGGAUCAAGAUGUAUCUUUCGUGCAGAUGCAUCAAGAUGUACCUUUCACUUAAGAUCCAUGCAGGCGCAAGCUCUGGAUGAACUUCUGCGGUGACGUCGGCAUUCUUACAGGAGAACCCAAGAUUCGCUGUACCUGUAUGCAUUUCAAAACUGAAUAAUUGAUAGCAACAAGUAAAUAUUUGAAGUUGCAGCCAAAUGCUGUGCCUUCUCUGCUGCAAGAACUACAUGUCACCAUUGAAGCAAGGCUCAGCUCGACUCCUGCAGUAGGACUCCAGCCUCGUCCAGUCGUCGCCGCUCGCCAAGACCUGCCGGACUCCUGCAAUAGGGUCCAGGCUGAUCCGUUCGUCCAGUAACCGCCGCUCGUCAGCACCAGCUGGGCUCCUGUAGUAGGGGUCCAGCCUCGUCCAGUCGCCGCCGCUUGCCAAGACCAGCUGGGCUCCUGUAGUAUGGGGCUAGGAUGGCCCGUUCAUCAACCGGUCCUGAAGUCACAUCGCUGUCAGCCAGCCGAACUCAGUACAUAAGUCACCAACCCUGAAUGUUGCCAGCCAAAGUCGGCAGUUUCCUUCGGACAGUCAUCUCACCAGUGUUGUACAGUGUACAAGGUUAGUGACGCAGUUAAAUGCGUCAAUUAAAUGCGAGGACGUGCGCUUGUAUGCAGCGUUUUGUCAUGUUGAGCUGCAUGGGUGUCGAUUUUCACCGAAUUGAGGGUGCCCAGUGCCCACUGCCCGGGCGCAGCAAAUCCGCCGCCGCCUUAGCGGUGACCUUGACCCGCACCGUCUGUUGGGGCUCCAAAGCCAAGCCAGCCGAGCCGGAGGGGAAUUUAGAGAGCUUGAGCACCCCCAACCCGGCGGAAAUUGACACCUAUGUUGAGCUGUAUGGAUGCGUUUUAGCCUUCCGCCGUGGUGGUAAAUAGCAGUCUACAUGCAGAAUUAGGCAGGCUUAUUAACGGACUCAUUAUUUGAUUCAUUGUGUCACCUUUGUCGGCACGUGUAAGAUGUAAGUGCACGUGUAAGGCCAUUGGCUCUCGGCCUGGCGACUUCUGGGGACCACGUAAUGGGGAUGACAAUUGGGAUCCUGUGCCUUAAGCCGGCCAUUUACGUCCAUGGCUAUAUACCCUCGUACUAGGGCCAGUUAUGACGUAUAUAGGGAUCCACGAGAUCUUUUUUGAUGAAUGGGUUGUGCAGUGUUGAGAUCCGCGUGUAACGUCACUGUUUGGCCAGUCUGCCCUCAAACGCGUCAUCUUUACUCGUAUUUUAUUUACAUGAACACUUUGCAUGGUCCAGUGGUUUAUAUAGACAUCUUCCUUGCACUAGCUAGUUUUAUGUGGCCAGGUUGAUUGCCUGUCAGCGCGGUCACGCUGUCGUCUUUCGAUUGGUGCGCUUAAAUGCGGCGAGAUGAAUGUAGGAUUUCCCUAUUUAGUACCUGCGCCCAGCUCAACUGGAGCCUUCGGACGGCGCACCUCUUGGCCGGCGCUGUUAUCUGAAACUUAUUAUCUCGGGCGUAUGUUGCAACUUGUUGAUUGCCAGCGUCGUUGUAUUACGUACGCGAAAGCAGUAGCGGCGGAACACCUUCAAUUAAGGGGAAGGGGGGGGAGGCACUGCCGACUUUUGAUCCCAUUCUUUCCAUGUAACGCCCAUAGAGCCCAUGUUAAAAUGCCAAAAUCAAAGGGGGACACGGUGCCCCGGUGCCCUCCCCGUUCCGCCGCCUAUGCGCGAAAGUACCAACAGUUUCCAGUUGUUUGUGUCCCAAUGUUUUUUAUGUUUUUAUUAUGUACAGGGACCGGUUGUCGAUAUCAAUGUUAUCGGUUGUUACUGGACAGGACAGACGGCUAGACAAGGGAUUCGUGUACAGUAGCAACUGCUGGUCCCCGUACCAGCAUUGAAACUGCACCAGUACCAGCAUUGAAACUAAAUAUAAGAUAUCUCAGAAG
rnacentral:lncRNA from 1 species